UACAGAGGGUGCGAGCGUUAAUCGGAAUUACUGGGCGCAAAGCGUGCGUAGACGGCUAUCUAAGUCGGGUGUGAAAGCCCCGGGCUCAACCUGGGAAUUGCAUUCGAGACUGAAUAGCUAGGGUACGGUAGAGGGAAGCGGAAUUUCCGGUGUAGCGGUGAAAUGCGUAGAUAUCGGGGGGAACACCGGUGGCGAAGGCGGUUCUCUGGGCCUGUACUGACGCUGAGGAGCGAAAGCGUGGGGAGCGAACAGG
rnacentral:rRNA from 1 species